UCCCCCGGGAGCAAACUGCUCCAGCACGGGUUUCCCACGGGUUGCAGCUCCCCCCAGACCUCCUGCUCCUGCGUGGGCUCCUCUCCACGGGUUGCAGCUCCGGCCCGGGGCCUGCUCCUGUGGGGGCUCUCCAUGGGCCGCAGCCUCCUCCAGGCCACAGCCACCUGCUCCACCGGGGGCUCCUCCACCCCUGGGGGGGCUGCAGCGUGGAGAUCUGCUCCAUGUGGGACCCCUGGGUGCAGGAGGACAGCCUGCUCCACCAAACUCAGCUUCUGGACUGCAUAAGCAUAGGUCACUAAGAUUCAGUUACAAAUUUUGUUUUUCUUUGAGACUGAAGUCAGAAAGUUAAAAUUACUAAUAUUAGACAUGAUCUCUGUUUCAUUUUAAAAAUAAUACAUUAAGUUAUUCAAACCCAGAUAAAGAUGACAAAUUAUCUGUUCUUCAGAGGGAUUAGAUGGUCAGAGAGUAAUUACAUGCUUACACUGCUUACCAAAGUUAAAUAAAUACAUCACGAGAUACAUACUGUUCAUUAUGAGCACUGCCAGUGCGCGGUCUUCUGUGAGGAGAGCAGUGGGACUUGGACAUUUCCAUUCAAAGAGUUUUCAUAUCUUCUUUUGUUCCAGGAUCACAGACAGAGGACAAGAGAGACCGAGGAGUUCACUUUAUCUUGCCUCUGUUCCAAGGCAAUAUCAACAAGAUAUCAAAAAAGAAACAAAGAAAAAGCAUCUGAAUUGAGAUGAUCAAGGGAGAAUAAUUCCUGUUCUUGUUUUCUUUCUUACUAACAAGACUUUUUCCUGUAAGUAAGUUUCCAGUUCAUUUGUUCCUUAUUCCCAGCCCAGAGCAAACCAUCAAUACCAUCUGCUGAAUAAACCCUGAUGUGAAAGACA
rnacentral:lncRNA from 1 species